UUAUAACUACACACAUCCAACACAGUUGUAGGGUAAUUUUGUACACAUGUCACUCUCAUAUUCAAUUUCAGCAAAUCCUACAUGGAAAAAGACAAAAAACCUACUUCUUUUGGCUGAAAUUUCAAAUGAUAUUCCCUCCUUCAGCUUUUGACGAAAUGGGCCAAAAAAUGCCAAGCCAAUGCUAUCCGGCCCAACUUGAUCCAGUCCAUUUCAGGCCAAACAAAAAAAACUCCUUCCCCAAGAAGCAUGUUUGACGUGUCUCUUUUCAUUAUUUUUCAAAUCCAUGCAACUUCUUCUUCUGAGAAGCAGCUGUCCCUUUCAUUCUUACCAAAGGAACAGUGUCAAGUCACUUUCAUUACCAACAAAUUUGGCUGACUCAUAUUGAAAAACAGAUUCUCAAAUUUCAAAUUUCAAACUCUCUCUCCCUCUCUAAACACCAAAGCCACAACCUUCUUCACUUGAUGAACUCGAUUUUCCUUCCAAAGAAGAAUCUCAUGGAUGUUGCUGGGCUGAUUUUCAUUCUGACGGAGCAGAUUUCAUUCUGAAACCCGAUGCGUGUUCUCUCAAAAGUGUUAUAUAUUUAAGCUGGAGUUGUUGUCUGGAAUUCUACAACAAAGAAGAUGAAGAGAAAUAUGAAGAAGCAACACUCACCAUGAAGGAAGCGGCAGACUCAAACUUAGAAAAUUCUGCAUCAAUUCCAAGUGAAACCUCAAAAUGAUGGCAGACACAAUUUUUUGUUCAAGAUUCAAGUUAAAUUGUGUGAAGGGUAUCCAACGAUUUUGAUCUCUUGCGGUAAAUUCAAAGAUUUGAGUAAUCCAAAGGUUUCACUUCUUGAAAUUUACCAGAGUUUGAAUUCUAAAUAUUGAAGAUGUUAGACCAAUGCAAGGAAAUAAUGAGGUUUAUGAAGGGAUCCUACAUCCAUAUGACAAAGGACUGUCAUACCAUCAUGGAGCUGGAGAAGAAGAGAAAGGAAUUAUUUGCAGGAGUUAUUUAUAACUAUACGACAAAGAGCAUAACACUUGCUUAUGAGGUUGUGCUAUAAUUUCUAAUUUCUAAUUACAUCAUUUUUUGGUGUUGUUAAGAGUUAUUGAUGGAUUUGGAGGUAGAUCUAUGUUCUCUCAUUCAACUCAUGGCUUUGUAGUAUUGUUUUUCACAGUAGAUGAUUCAUACGUUGACACCUAUAUAUCAGUACAAUUGGAGUGGACUUUUUAAGCAUUCACAUCCACCACUUAACCUUUGCAAAUCUCUUGUUUCUAUUGGUUAAGAAGAUUACAUAAUGCAAGUAUAGCUAAAGUGUGGAAUAUUUAUCUGUUUAUAAGAUCUGAAGGGAAGCUGUUAGCAAGCUUAGUUAACGAGGAUUGACACUGGAAAGAUGAUGUAGAAGAUUAAUUUGGUUUUACAUCUAAGGGAGAUUUGUGGGCUGAAAUACAGACAUAGCUGCAAAAUUGGUUCUAAACUUCUAAAGGAUUUAUGCAUGAUAAUACAAUGUUUAAAAAGGAUUUUAUAUAGUUUCAUUCGAUCUUAAUGGUCUUAACUUUGUUUAGUUUAUGAGUUUAUCUCUGAAUAGAAUUUUAAAAGAUGUCUUGAAUGAAAAUAAAGACGACAUUAUUAAAAUAUAACAUUAAGUUUUGCUGUUA